UACGGGGGGGGCAAGCGUUGUUCGGAAUUACUGGGCGUAAAGGGCUCGUAGGUGGCCAACUAAGUCAUACGUGAAAUCCCUCAGCUUAACUGGGGAACUGCGCCUGAUACUGGUUGGCUUGAGUUUGGGAGAGGGACGCGGAAUUCCAGGUGUAGCGGUGAAAUGCGUAGAUAUCUGGAGGAACACCGGUGGCGAAGGCGGUUCUCUGGGCCUUACCUGACGCUGAGGAGCGAAAGCGUGGGGAGCGAACAGG
rnacentral:rRNA from 1 species